rnacentral:lncRNA from 1 species
UUGGCUAUUCGGGGACUUAAAUAAAAACAAGUCUGAAAAGCACUGUACUUUAGCCCAUAACCUCAAAGCUCACCUGACCAUUAGCAGAAGGAGGAGGGACACAAUGCGUCUUAGUAAACACGUGGGUACUGUCACUUCCCUCUUCUCCACCCUCCAGCCCCGCCUCAGCUCAAACACAGGGCGCCCCUCCUUCCUUUCUGGGUGGAAGCUGUGGGAGCCGCCAGCAGCCAUCUUUCAGGCCCAUCCACUGCAAGAGAAAAUGAGGCCAAGGACAUGGUGGUGACUUAAAAAGUAACGAACGAAGGUGCUUCCCUGUGAACCGUCCCAGGCUGAAGCCUCAUGAAGACUUCUCCACAGGAGACAGCGGGUGCUACUCUGUGAUCCCGAGAGACCCAGGGCGGAACCAUCCCUUGGAGACCAGCGGAGACGCCGACCUCCCCACUGGAUUCUGCUAAGAUGAACCGCUGGAGUGGCCCAUGCGGCAGCCGCCCACCACGGCCCGCCACCUCUGUGCUGGCUCAGACACUGCUCCCCGGAUGCUGUGUGCAGCUGUAGGCGGAAUCAGGACGUGAACUCAGACCACAUGCUGAUGAGGUCUCUCAGAUGCGAGAAAAGACCCCAGAGAGCUCCCUCCCACCUUCCACCACGUGAGGACACAGCGAAAAGACAGCCAGCUGUCCUAUGAACCGGGAAGUGGGUCCUCACCAGACACUGGACGUGCCAGCACCUUGAUCUCGGACUUCCCAGGCUCUAGAACAAACCGUCACAGUAAUAACGAAGCGAUGUUUGCUCAAUAAAGAACAGGCCUCACUUGGGCAAAUGGAUAAAUGUGUCAGCUGACAAAACUUACCAGGACCUCAGCUAUGAUUUAUCCUGGAAACAUCUGAAGCAUUUAUAAA